AGGGCCUGGGGAAAGGUUCAUGGGUGGUAGGGAAGUUAGUAACAUGGCAGCACGCGUGGCGACUACGUGGAACUGCGCCUGCGGAUCUUCUCCCAAACAAUAACAAACCUAAACAAAAUCCCACCGCCCCGUCACUCUUUCCGCUUCCUCCGAUCCCCGCCACCGCCACGACAUGUAUCGAACGGCGGCCAAAAGGCUCUUCUCCCGUACAACGUCUCUUAAUUACGCCUCCGACGGAUUCUACUUCUGCUCUCCUACUUCGUUCCUACGCUCUCAUCUCUUCUCCACUUUUCAAAGUGAACCAUCUUCUGAUCACCGCUCCAACUAUCAGCCCCGCCCCCAAAGCCUUAAUUUUUCGUCCUCAAGUUCGUCUUCAUCGUCCUCCUCCGACCACGCACAACGCCAUGAGACCCCUACACCGACAGCUACGUAUCAAGACGAGCAUGUUCGCGUGCUUCAAGCCUCCGUUCCUCACGUCAUAAAACUGGGAUGGACCGAAGCAGCGUUGAUUGCUGGAGCAAGGGACGUUGGCCUGUCACCUUCGAUCAUUGGAUCAUUCCCGAGGAAGGAGGCAGCGUUGGUUGAGUUUUUUAUGGAUGACUGCUUACAAAGGCUUGUCGAUAGAAUUGACUCGGAUGAGGGGUUAAAAAACUUGACGCCCAGUGAUUGCAUCUUUAAACUUGUCAGAAUUCGUCUAGAAAUGCAAGCUCCCUAUAUAUCAUCGUGGCCUCAAGCUCUUAGCAUUCAGGCACAACCAGUCAACUUUCCAACAAGUUUUAAGCAGAGGGCUAUGCUUAUUGAUGAGAUCUGGCAUGCAGCUGGUGAUACUGCGUCAGACAUUGAUUGGACCUGGAUUUGCUGGCAAUUUUUCUUUAUCCACUUUCCAUCCUGGUGGUUUGGCUUUUUGUUCUGGGACACUUUUUGGAAAUUGAUUCAUUAACUAGAUUUUCGUGACACAUGGGCUUUCCUGGAUGCUCGCGUGAAUGACGCCUUUGAUCUUAAGAAAAGCAUUCAAGAGGCACAAUAUUUGGCAGAAGCUGUGGGUGCUGGGAUGGGGAGCUCUUUGCAAGGGUUUGUUAGGAAAGUUUUUAAGGGAUAAAUUAUGGUGCUUGCGCCAAGCAUUCAUUUCUCGGUCGCUGAGAAACCCAUGACAUGCUUUUAAACACGGUUCAUUCUCAUGAAUGUUUAGCCCUUGGCGAUGCUAGCUGUGAGUGAGGGCAAAUGCAAUCCUCAUUUUUUUUCUAUUCCUUUUAAUCUACCAUCUUUACGUUCCGCAAUAUUAUGCACAAUUACACACAGUGUGGUUAUUACUACAUCUAAUUUGUUGAUCAAAGAUUUUUCUUUUUAUGCAUUUGUAAUUCAGUAAAAGAGCCUGGUACUCCCACGACUCUUGGACCAUCUUGCAG